rnacentral:rRNA from 1 species
AUGCCCACUGUUGCUAAGAUUUGGGCAAGGAAAGUUUUCUCAUUUGAUCCUAUUGACAUCUUGAACAUUAAACAGAAAAGAUUCAAAACUUACUUCAAAGGUUGGGGUUCGGAUAAAUAUGGUCACGAUAAGAAAAGGAAGGAAGAACUUAGGAUGGAACUGGCCAUGCUAGAAGAACUAGAAGAAAAUGGCCCCCUGUCCCCUGAGCUAUAUGGCAUUAAGGUAGAUGUUGGCAUUGAGCUGCAUGAGCUGUUGGUGAAUGAGGAGAUCUUUUGGCUCCAACAAUCUCAUGAGCGUUGGCUCCUAAAAGGGGACCUGAACACUGAUUACUAUCAUAAAAUCGCCAAUGGGCGGAAAAGAAAAAACACAAUUUAUUCCUUGAAGGCUGGGGGAUUGAUUGAAGGUACGGAUAAGCUAAUUGCUCAUGCUACAUAAUUUUACAAAAAACUAUUUGGGCCUGAGCCGGGUAAUUUGUUCCACCUAAGACCCGACACUUGGGCUGAUGAGGAAAAACUUAGUGCUGACGAUAAUGCAGAUUUAUGUAGUGAGUUCACUGAGACAGAAGUUAGGGAAGCAUUAUUUUCUAUGGCACACAAUAGAGCCCCUGGUCCGGAUAACAUCCCUGUGGAAUUCUAUCAGGUGUGUUGGGACAUAGUUAAAGAAGAUAUCAUGAGGCUUUUUGAGCAUUUCCAUAAAGGGACACUUGAUGUCCAACGCCUCAACUAUGGAGUGAUAACCUGUAACACCCCAAAUGUAAUUUACCUAAUAUGUACUCCAACUCUUGCCAUUUCCGACGCUAAGUUAUUUUAUUUCCUCGGGUUCGGGUUUUUGUCUCCGUGUGUUGUUGCCGUUGUCAUCCAUCUCAUAUCAUGUCAUCAUGUGCAUUGCAUUUGCAUACGUGUUCGUCUCAUGCAUCCGAGCAUUUUCCCCGCUGUCCGUUUUGCAUUCCGGCGCUCCUAUCUCCUCCGGUGGUCAUUUCUACCUCUUUUCGUGUGUGGGGGUUAA